rnacentral:pre_miRNA from 1 species
AAAAAUUCAAACCCUGAUUUCCAUGUCUAACGUUUGACUAUCCGUCUUAUUUGAAAAAAUAUGAAAAAAAAUUAAAAAGACAAGUCACGUAUAAAAUAUUAAUCAUAUUUUAUCAUCUAACAACAAUAAAAAUACGAAUUAUAAAAAAAUUUCAUAUAAAACGGACAAUCAAAGUUGGACACAGAAAUCCAGAGUUUGUCUUUUU